GAGGCUAUAGCUCAGUGGUAGAGCACAUGCUUGGCAUGCACAAGGUCCUGGGUGCAAUUCUCAGUACCUCU
rnacentral:tRNA from 1 species